rnacentral:tRNA from 1 species
UGGCCCGUUGGACCUUUGGAGGUGGUCGUCGCCCUUUCACGGCGAAGGAACCGGUUCGAUUCCGGUACGGGUCAU